rnacentral:rRNA from 1 species
AUUGAACGCUGGCGGCAGGCCUAACACAUGCAAGUCGAGCGAGCGGCGGACGGGUGAGUAAUGUAUGGGGACUGCCCGAUAGAGGGGGAUAACUACUGGAAACGGUAGCUAAUACCGCAUACUAUCGGAUAACCCAUAUGGGAUUAGCUAGUAGGUUAGGUAAUGGCUCACCGAGCCGACGAGCCCUAGCUGGUCUGAGAGGAUGAUCAGCGCCACGUGGACUGAGACACGGCCCAGAGUCCUACGGAGGCAGGAGUGGGGAAUAUUGCACAAUGGGCGCAAGCCUGAUGCAGCCAUGCCGCGUGUAUGAAGAAGGCCCUAGGGUUGUAAAGUACUUUCAGUCGGGAGGCGUUACCGACAGAAGAAGCACCGGCUAAGUCCGUGCCAGCAGCCGCGGUAAUAC